rnacentral:rRNA from 1 species
CCUACGGGAGGCAGCAGUGAGGAAUAUUGGUCAAUGGGCUUACGCCUGAACCAGCCAAGUCGCGUGAGGGAAGACUGCCCUAUGGGUUGUAAACCUCUUUUGUCAGGGAGCAACGCCGGCUACGUGUAGCCGGACUGAGAGUACCUGAAGAAAAAGCAUCGGCUAACUCCGUGCCAGCAGCCGCGGUAAUACGGAGGAUUCAAGCGUUAUCCGGAUUUAUUGGGUUUAAAGGGUGCGUAGGCGGUCGGAUAAGUUAGAGGUGAAAUCCCGAGGCUCAACUUCGGAAUUGCCUCUGAUACUGUUCGGCUAGAGAGUAGUUGCGGUAGGCGGAAUGUAUGGUGUAGCGGUGAAAUGCUUAGAGAUCAUACAGAACACCGAUUGCGAAGGCAGCUUACCAAGCUACUUCUGACGUUGAGGCACGAAAGCGUGGGGAGCAAACAGGAUUAGAUACCCUUGUAGUC